GACGGAGGGGGCGAGCGUUAUUCGGAAUCAUUGGGCGUAAAGAGUGUGUAGGCGGCCGGUUAAGUCAGGCGUGAAAGCCCAGGGCUCAACCCUGGAAGUGCGUUUGAAACUGGCUGGCUUGAGUUCGGGAGAGGGAAGCGGAAUUCCUGGUGUAGAGGUGAAAUUCGUAGAUAUCAGGAGGAACAUCGGUGGCGAAGGCGGCUUCCGGGACCGAAACUGACGCUGAGACACGAAAGCGUGGGGAGCAAACAGG
rnacentral:rRNA from 1 species